rnacentral:rRNA from 1 species
UACGUAGGGAGCAAGCGUUGUCCGGAAUCACUGGGCGUAAAGCGCACGUAGGCGGAUUUGUCAGUCAGGGGUGAAAUCCCGGGGCUCAACCUCGGAACUGCCUUUGAUACAGCAAGUCUUGAGUUCGAGAGAGGUGGGUGGAAUUCCUAGUGUAGAGGUGAAAUUCGUAGAUAUUAGGAAGAACACCGGUGGCGAAGGCGGCCCACUGGCUCGAUACUGACGCUGAGGUGCGAAAGCGUGGGGAGCAAACAGG